rnacentral:rRNA from 1 species
UACGUAGGGCGCAAGCGUUGUCCGGAAUUAUUGGGCGUAAAGAGCUCGUAGGCGGCUUGUCACGUCGGGGUGUGAAAGCCCCGGGGCUUAACCCCGGGUCUGCAUUCGAUACGGGCUAGCUAGAGUGUGGUAGGGGAGAUCGGAAUUCCUGGUGUAGCGGUGAAAUGCGCAGAUAUCAGGAGGAACACCGGUGGCGAAGGCGGAUCUCUGGGCCAUUACUGACGCUGAGGAGCGAAAGCGUGGGGAGCGAACAGG